UCCAAUGAUAUUUAUUUGAAAAGCUAAUACGAGUAAAAAAAAAUUGAUAAUGUUAAGUCGUAGAGUAAUGAGCAAAUACAUUUUCUUUCAACAAUAAAAAGCAUACUGUUGAGUGUAAAUACGAUAAUUACAUGCAAAAUGCUUACAUUUAAUUUAGGUAGGCGAUAUCCAGGCAAAUUAACGCUUGGGACAAGAAAAUCACUUGGAUUUAAAACAAUAUAUUAAUACUUGUGAACUUUUUAUGAAAAUAUUUUAAGUAUAUUAACCAAACAAUGACAAUUUUUCU